rnacentral:rRNA from 1 species
UACGUAGGGUGCGAGCGUUGUCCGGAAUUAUUGGGCGUAAAGAGCUCGUAGGCGGUCUGUCGCGUCGGUCGUGAAAACUUGGGGCUUAACCCUGAGCUUGCGGUCGAUACGGGCAUGACUGGAGUUCGGCAGGGGAGACUGGAAUUCCUGGUGUAGCGGUGAAAUGCGCAGAUAUCAGGAGGAGCACCGGUGGCGAAGGCGGGUCUCUGGGACGGUACUGACGCUGAGACGCGAAAGCGUGGGGAGCGAACAGG